UCAAUUCCAAUUUGUAUGGAGUUGAAACGUUUGCCUACGUUUGCGGCUAGAGCCGCUGUUUCAACGCCUUACGAGUUAACUGUUA
rnacentral:pre_miRNA from 1 species